rnacentral:lncRNA from 1 species
AAUAACUUUUGGUUUAAUAUGUGAGCAUUAAUAUAGACUAACAUUGUUAAUAGAAGUACCACGUAGACCUAGCUUUCUCAUGUGUCAGAUUCUAGGUAGGUCAAUAUCUAUGUUAAAAACCAUGUAGCAGCCCCGGAAAUUUAAAAUGAAAAUUAUAUUAUAAAUAUCAAAUGCGGAAGCAAAAACAAAAUUUGAUUAACAUCCCUUACACUAAAACCAAAAACAUGCUCACAAAAUAUAAAAGAUUAAACUACCUAAAGGGGAAACUUGAAAGUAAAAACUACGAAUGUGACUAUGGAGUCCUUAGGCGUCCCCUUCGUCGUCCUCCUGCGGAACCGGCUCGGGAACGAUGUCCUCUUGAUCUGAAAUGAUUAAAUAAGGAAUGAGCUACACUAGCCCAGUAAGGACAUCACGAUAUCUCACCGUCACGGAGGUAAAGGUGGGUAGAAAACACAAAAAGACCAAUGGAGCAUAAUUUACAACAAAUCCUUUUAUUAAUAAUAAAACCUUUACCAUUCACUUACCUCGGUGAAAUUCAUAAAACAAUAUACGAAAGCAAUAACAUCAUCAUCAUCAUGAAAACAUAUAUAUGAACUGUAUAACAUAAUACCUAUCAAGCUUUUCGUAAUUUAAUCGUUACACAACAUAUUUUCCUCAUUUAUCAGCCCACUAAUAUCCAUGGGGAUCCAUAGGGGUCCCGCUACCCGUUAACCCUUAACACUUGAAAUCAUAUUACAGGGCCGUCCCCAUACCCCGUCCGGUAUGGGUGCCAAACCAUAGACCUCAUUACCCCAUCCGGUAUGAGGGUGAAACGGGCCGUCCCCAUACCCCGUCCGGUAUGGGCGCCAAAACACAUAAGAUCUCCAUACCCCGUCCGGUAUGGGAGACCACAAUCCCGGUAGGGUUCCCUACGGACCCGGUCCGUCCACCAUCUCCCAGGAUAUCAAGUCAGGCUGACCAUAUUAUACAAUUUCCAUUUACAUAAUCUUUCAUUCUCUUUUUCCCUCAGUCAACAUUAUCAAUCACAUACAAACAAGCAAAACGAUAAUUUAUGCCAAACAGACAACAUACAGCAUCAAUAUCCCGGUCAUUCAAUCCAUAAUUAAUAAAACAGUAGAAUAUGCACAUAAAACUAUAAAAUGAAAAUAUCAAAUCUCAUACUGCAUUUAAAACUGUAAACAGGCCAAAUAACAGUUAACCGACAAACACACUAGACUCGGGCUCCAUUAGCGACCUUAAGCAAUUUCACACAUUCGUUGAUUCAUGAAAUACCAUUUUAUCAUUUAUUGAAUUUUAAAACCGUGAUAGGAAAUAGGGUGAGGGGUCCUUACUCGUUUCGGGGUCCGAACACGGCUUC